GAGGGGAGGGGCGUAGACGGGGCGGGUGGGGGGCGGGCACUCGGGGACCUCCCCUCGGGGGCGCCGCCGCGCGGCCACUGCACCUGUCGCUCGGGGACUGAGAGCUCGCAGGGGUGCAGGGACGCGCCAGGGAAGCGGCACCUCCUAGCUCCGGCCACAACCAGGCUCCGCCCACCUAGGGCCACCAGACUCGGACCUGCUUCCUCCCACCUGGCCGGACUAGCAGCAGGGCCUCUUAAGGAAACCCGGGCCUCCAGGGACGUGGCGACUCUGGGACUCAGACAACCAGGCGGAUGGGGGAGGGAGACUGUAAUUGUGAUCCAGCCGGACCUUAGACCCGGGAUCGAUGCGAUACCGCCUGGACAGUGGACAGUUCUCACCCACUCCUCUGCAGCCGCCACCAAAGCCGGGUGCUGUUUCCUGUCCCUCCUGUUGGGAACAAUUUGAGGAACCAAAUUGCGGGGCUGUGAGAACGAGACGCUUCCAGGCGUUCUUCACAACUCUGUCCGGUACUCGCUGGAGCACAGAGCGCAAGAUGGAAGGUGGGGAGACGUUCAGGGUUCCUGGUCAAGAUGGCCUCAGUGGUGCCACCUGUGUUUCAAAACAAAACAAGGGAAGAGCUUUGAUGGAUGAUGGA